rnacentral:miRNA from 1 species
AACUCCAAGCAUUCAAAACUCA